GUACAGCUGACGAGUCCCAAAUAGGACGAAACGCGCAUCCUGGAU
rnacentral:hammerhead_ribozyme from 1 species